rnacentral:rRNA from 1 species
AGAGUUUGAUCCUGGCUCAGGAUGAACGCUGGCGGCGUGCUUAACACAUGCAAGUCGAACGAAGCACUCUAUUUGAUUUUCUUCGGAAAUGAAGAUUUUGUGACUGAGUGGCGGACGGGUGAGUAACGCGUGGGUAACCUGCCUCAUACAGGGGGAUAACAGUUGGAAACGACUGCUAAUACCGCAUAAGCGCACAGGAUCGCAUGAUCCGGUGUGAAAAACUCCGGUGGUAUGGGAUGGACCCGCGUCUGAUUAGCCAGUUGGCAGGGUAACGGCCUACCAAAGCGACGAUCAGUAGCCGACCUGAGAGGGUGACCGGCCACAUUGGGACUGAGACACGGCCCAAACUCCUACGGGAGGCAGCAGUGGGGAAUAUUGCACAAUGGGGGAAACCCUGAUGCAGCGACGCCGCGUGAGCGAAGAAGUAUUUCGGUAUGUAAAGCUCUAUCAGCAGGGAAGAAGAAUGACGGUACCUGACUAAGAAGCACCGGCUAAAUACGUGCCAGCAGCCGCGGUAAUACGUAUGGUGCAAGCGUUAUCCGGAUUUACUGGGUGUAAAGGGAGCGCAGGCGGUGCGGCAAGUCUGAUGUGAAAGCCCGGGGCUCAACCCCGGUACUGCAUUGGAAACUGUCGUACUAGAGUGUCGGAGGGGUAAGUGGAAUUCCUAGUGUAGCGGUGAAAUGCGUAGAUAUUAGGAGGAACACCAGUGGCGAAGGCGGCUUACUGGACGAUAACUGACGCUGAGGCUCGAAAGCGUGGGGAGCAAACAGGAUUAGAUACCCUGGUAGUCCACGCCAUAAACGAUGAAUACUAGGGGGCGGGGAACAUUGGUCUUCGGGGCCGCAGCAAACGCAAUA